UGGGGAAUAUUGCGCAAUGGGGGAAACCCUGACGCAGCGACGCCGCGUGCGGGAUGAAGGCCUUCGGGUUGUAAACCGCUUUUGAUUGGGAGCAAGCUUUCGGGUGAGUGUACCUUUCGAAUAAGCGCCGGCUAACAACGUGCCAGCAGCCGCGGUAAUAGGUAGGGCGAAAGCGUUAUCCGGAAUUAUUGGGCGUAAAGAGCUUGUAGGCGGUUCGUCGCGUCUGGUGUGAAAGCCCAUCGCUUAACGGUGGGUUUGCGCCGGGUACGUGCGGGCUAGAGUGCAGUAGGGGAGACUGGAAUUCCCGGUGUAACGGUUGAAUGUGUAGAUAUCGGGAAGAACACCAAUGGCGAAGGCAGGUCUCUGGGCUGUUACUGACGCUGAGAAGCGAAAGCGUGGGGAGCGAACAGG
rnacentral:rRNA from 1 species